AUUGAACGCUGGCGGCAGGCCUAACACAUGCAAGUCGAGCGGAGCGGCGGACGGGUGAGUAAUGAUUAGGAAUAUGCCUGGUAGUGGGGGAUAACGUCCGGAAACGGGCGCUAAUACCGCAUACUAUCAGAUGAGCCUAGGUCGGAUUAGCUAGUUGGUGGGGUAAAGGCCUACCAAGGCGACGAUCAGUAACGGGUCUGAGAGGGUGAUCAGUCACACGGGAACUGAGACACGGUCCAGACUCCUACGGGAGGCAGCAGUAGGGAAUAUUGGGCAAUGGGCGAAAGCCUGAUCCAGCCAUGCCGCGUGAGUGAAGAAGGUCUUCGGAUUGUAAAGCACUUUAGGUUGGGAGGCGUUACCAACAGAAAAAGCACCGGCUAACUUCGUGCCAGCAGCCGCGGUAAUAC
rnacentral:rRNA from 1 species